AAGUACAUAUAUCAUAGAUAGAAUGAUUUUCUACAAGUUCAAACUCUCUUACACAACAAAAAGUAUUCUUCUGCUCUCUUUUCUCUAGUUACUUGCUAUUUUUCUAAGUCAGCCGGCUACAAGCCAAGGCUGAUUACUCUACUCUCUUGCCCCUCACUUUGUGUUUACUUCUUUACUGGUAUGUUCUGAUUUCUAUUCAAGUUUCAAAAUAAUAUUUUUCUUUUACUGCUUCAGUAUAUCUUGUUUCUAGAAUGCUUUCACUUAUGGUUUUGUCG
rnacentral:lncRNA from 1 species